UAUAGGGUGUUUUGUGAUGAAAAAUAUAUUUAAUAUGGAACUGCUGAAGCAUAUAACUAGUCAUCACAACAGCAGUUCUUUGUAAUCACUGGAAAAGGAUACUGUUUCUUUGAGAAGGAUGUGAAAAGAUCAGCCCAGCUCAGGGUGCAGUUUGCACUACUAGCUCCUUGGACAGCUGUAAGAAGAGUCUCUGGCUCUUUAGAAUACUGAUCCCAUUGAGGAUGCCAUAUUGCAUGUAUCCUUAGUAGUCAUAUCUUCCUAGGCUCCUCUUGGACAUUCUAAGCAUGUGAGACCUGAGGACUACAAGCAGCUUCAAGAAGCUCCAAAUUCAGCAGAUCUUUCCUUUUGAGAAUCUGGACAAGCUCCAGUUAAUGUA